rnacentral:rRNA from 1 species
GAUGAACGCUAGCUACAGGCUUAACACAUGCAAGUCGAGGGGCAGCGGUAUCGAAAGCUUGCUUUCGGUAGCCGGCGACCGGCGCACGGGUGAGUAACGCGUAUCGAACCUGCCUCAUACUCGGGAAUAGCCUUGCGAAAGUAAGAUUAAUGCCCGGUGUUUUCAGAGUCCCGCAUGAGGCUUUGAACAAAGAUUUAUCGGUAUGAGAUGGCGAUGCGUCCCAUUAGCUUGUUGGCGGGGUAACGGCCCACCAAGGCAUCGAUGGGUAGGGGGUCUGAGAGGAAGGUCCCCCACAUUGGAACUGAGCCACGGUCCAAACUCCUACGGGAGGCAGCAGUGAGGAAUAUUGGUCAAUGGGCGGAAGCCUGAACCAGCCAAGUAGCGUGCAGGAAGACGGCCCUCCGGGUUGUAAACUGCUUUUAGUUGGGAAUAAAACGGGGCUCGUGGGCCCCCUUGCAUGUACCAUCAGAAAAAGGACCGGCUAAUUCCGUGCCAGCAGCCGCCGUAA